CUGGCCCAUCCCCCUGUGCCUCUCCUGACCCCACAUCCUGUAGGGCUCCCAGUGCCCCAGAUACAAAAGCCACAUUCUUCCUGCCCUUGGCCUUUAAGGUCCCAGGGGUGUCCCAGGGGCUCCCAGUGCUGCUCCUGCCUGGAACAGCCUCUUUGUCCACAAGGGNUCUGAAGACCCAGCGGGGACCAGGUCAUACAAUUUCCUUGUCCUCAGAGGUCCCAGUCUGGGGUGGCAGAGAACAAACAGGAAACGAGGAAGUGAACAAUAUUAUGUCAAACGCCAACGUGGAGAAAGGAAAAGAGCGAGCGCGCGGGUGCCACACUGGCCAAUGGUGGCUUUAGCUGGGAGAUCUCUCAGAGAGGAUCACACCGCGGCCAGCAGAGACACUGAGAAGGAAGAGCAGCCAGCCACAGAGAAAGGGCGUCCCACGCAGGAGCGAGGGAAGGGGCUGGCGGCUGACCGCACUGGCUCCCAGCUGCAGGAGGAGGCGAAGGAUCAGUGGGGAGCCGCGGGGAGCCGGGACGGGGCGCCAUCUGGGUUGUGUUUGUGAAUCCACCAUGUCCUCCGUGGGACGCAGGGGCUGCGGGGGGACAGGAUGGGAAGGGACAGGAGGCCAGCAGGAGACUUGGACGGCAUGUGGGAGGGGACCACUGGGGUCUGGAUUAUGGUGGGGCCAGGAGGAGAAGUCCAUGCAUUGGGACCUGUUUUGAGGGCAAGCGGUGAGUCCUGGGGUGGGGGUGGCGGGGGCCACCUAAGCUCCCAGGCCAGCAUCCGGUCUGAGCUCAGUUCAGGGAACAGAGCCUCCCGAUUCUGGGGAUGGAGCCACAGACUCCAUAUUUUGUCUCUGCAUCUGAGCCACCCGCCCCACCCAUGUGUUCCAGACACACCUCUGCAUACGCUGGGUACACAAGAUGCUCCUCGUCACCAGCCACAGGUACACUUAGCAACCCCCACGCCCCAUCACACUUGCCCACUGCCCUGGCCUCCCCAGCAGCGGCCUCUCCCAGGCCCAUCUGGCCUCAGUUCCCCCCCACAGCACAGGGCCUGCUUCCGCGGAAACGGAGAAGGCCACCCUUGAAGGGCUGAUCUCUGGCCAGACGCAGCGGCAGGCCCCGGUCAUCCCAGCCACUCAGGAGGCUGAAGCAGGAGGAUCACAAGUCCAAGGCCAGCCUCAGCAACUUAGCGAGGUUGUCUUGAAAACAAACAAACAAAAGGGCUGGGGAUGUGGCUCAGUGGUAGAGCACCCCAGUUUCCAGCCCCAUAAAAACAGAAGGGCUGCUGGGCUCGGGAGGCUGAGGCAGGAGGAUCGCGGGUUCAAAGCCAGCCUCAGCAACAUCGAGGUGCUAAGCGACUCAGUGAGACCUUGUCUCUAAAUAAAACACAAAUUAGACUUGGGGAUGUGAUUCUGUGGUCAAGUGCCCCUAAGUUCAAACCCCAGAACUACCCCCACCAAGAAAAGUUAUAAUUAAGCCAGGCCUGGUGGUGCACACCUGUAAUCCUGGUGACUCAAAGCCAGCCUCAGCAACUCCACUAGACCCUGACUCAAAAUAAAAAAAUAAGAAGGGCUAGGGAUGUGAUUCAGUGGUUAUGCACCUCUGAAUUCAAUCCCUGGUAGCAGGUCUGGGCAUUGUGGUGCAUGUCUGUAAUCCCAGCUGCUUAGAAGUCCAAGGCAGGAGGAUUACAAGCUUGAGGCCUGUUUCAGCAAUUUAUUGAGAUCCUGAAUCAAAAUAAAAUAAAAUUAAAUACAAAACAGGGCUGGGGAUGGGGGCUCAGUGGUUGUGUACCCCUGAGUUCAAUCUCCGGUACUCCCCAUCCCCCCACAAAAAGACAAACCAGAAGGGCUGAGCUCUGACCCCGCUGGCCACCCAUCAGACAGGCCCCUCCUGUGCCCACACCCCCACGGCUCCUCACUGCUCUGGAGCAGAACUGUAGAAUCCCUGAAUGGAUCCCUCUUAAGAUUCAGAUCUUACCCAGGUCCCUCAUCCACUCUGUGACCUUGGCCUUUGCCUCUCUCGGCUUGUGCUAGGGACUGGGUAAGUGGGUCUCAGGCCUCCCCCUGACUGGCUGCUGGACUGGCCACCGCAGCCCUUCUGCCCUCCCCACUGGCCCAUCCCCCUGUGCCUCUCCUGACCCCACAUCCUGUAGGGCUCCCAGUGCCCCAGAUACAAAAGCCACAUUCUUCCUGCCCUUGGCCUUUAAGGUCCCAGGGGUGUCCCAGGGGCUCCCAGUGCUGCUCCUGCCUGGAACAGCCUCUUUGUCCACAAGGGUCCGCCUCAUAUCUUUCUCAACACCAUCUCUCCACUCCCACCACCACAGGAGACACCCUCCCAGCUGUCCCCAUUCACCCAUGCCACAAGCAUUAGCCGAGCACCCGCUGGAUCCCAGGCCCUGCCCUGAGGACACAAAUGAUCAUAACAGGUUCAGGUUUGGGGCUCCCAAACCUCCAAGGGAGAAAAACAACUUGAUCACACAAGAAGACGUGCAGGUCGCACUCCUGGUGGGGACAGAGGGAGGGACACAAGCAUAACAGUGUGACCAGGAUCUGGAAAGAAGUUGGCACAGUUGCCCAUUUGAGGGCUUCAUGGAGACCUGGAAGGAAAGGGGCUCUGGGCAGAGGGGAAAUGAUCCCAAAGGUCCUGGGGCCUGACCAGUCUGCAUUGAGGAUGACCAGCUCCCCCAAACUCUUUGACUAGAGCAGAUUGAGCGAUGGGGAGAGGUAUGGGGGGGAAGUGGGGGCAGGGACACAGGGACCAUGGCCUCUAGAGCCUUGGGGGCUAAGGGGACAAAUGAAGGCUUACUCCUAGGGUGCUUGGGCCACCUGGAGGCAGAGACCCAUUUGCUCGCAUGGCCCGAGGUAGUUUGGCUCUGCUGCCCCCUGGUGGUGAGUGAGGCAUCCUGGUGGCCUCCCCUCUGGCCCCAAACUGCCUCCAUUUCCUCUGAUAAGUCUGUUCGGCCACGCCCAACCCAGGGCUCCUUCCCUCCCCUCCUGUCCUCACUGGGGUGGAGGCCAAGGACUCAGAGUCAGAUCUGUCCUGAUGCUCUCCCAGGGCGUCUCUGGGCAAUACAUUCUGAGGUUGUGUGCUUGUUCUCUCCUCUCCUCUAUGGGGAUGACAGCAGUCCCUGCUUCUCAACUUACUCCAGGCCCUACUCUCUUCUGUCCAAAUGUUGCACUACCUACCUCUUUGUCUCUGCCACAUCCAUGCCUGUCCCCAGGCAGUGACAGAAGCUUUAAAAUUUUUCAUCCUGCCUCAGGACCUUUGCAUAUCCUGUUCCCACUGCCUUGUGCCAAUUUCUGCCUAGAUCUGUCCAUGCCCGGGCUCAAACAGCAACUCCCCAUGAGUUCCCUACUUGAACGGGUCUUGUUUAUCCACAUGCUUGCUCAUCACCAUCUCCUCAUGCUGGCUGAGAACUCCCUGGAGGAAAGAAUGUGUUCCUCUUGUUCACAUUUAUGCCUUUAGCACCAGGCACACAGUAGGUGUCUAAUAAGCACUUGCUGAUUGAAUGACAGGAAACUUGCCUACUGCCAGGCACCCAGUGUGGGCUCCAUGUUGUUCUCUCUUAUUAAAACAUGUGGAGGGCCAGGGCUGGGGCUCAGCGGUAGAGCGCUCACCUAGCACUCUUGAGGCGCUGGGUUCGAUCCUCAGCACCACAUAAAAAUAAAGAUAGUACUGUGUCCACCUACAACUAAAAAGUAAAUAUUAAAAAAGAAAAGCUUUUGGAAAGGCUGUAUGUAGUGGCGCAUGCCUGUGAUCCCAGCAGCUCAGGAGGCCGAGGAAGGAGGAUCAUGAGUCCAAAGCCAGCCUCAGCUACUUAGCAAGGCACUAAGCAGCUUAACGAGAUCCUUUCUCUAAAUAAAUAAAUAAGGUCUGGGGACGUGGCCCAUUGGUUAAGCACCCCUGGGUUCCAGUCCAUAACAUUCUUCCCCGUACAGUGGCAAGACCCUGAGACUUGCCCAGUCACAGAGAGUGACUCAAACCUUGACAGACUCUGGUGGCAUAUCUGGCCUUGAUCCUUGGUCCCCAGACACACUAAAUCAGAAGAAUAGGAUUCUCCCCUGGGCCUCAAUCUCCUCAGCUGGGAAAUGGGGUUAAGCAGGGACCUCCUGCCAGGGUGAGGGAGGGAAUGCGGGCCUGGAGCCACACUGGCACUCCGGCAGGCUGGGUAUUCCUCCUGACCGCUCUGUCUGGUUCAGCCUGGUGCACAGGGCUCCAAGCCUGGGCUCUAGUGGUGGAUUCUGGGGCUUGGGCGUGUGUGUAUGCUCAGAGGGAGGAGAGUUCCACGUAGGUCCCCGAGGUCGCUGCCCAGAGCAGCCUGGGAAUCCAGCACCUGUCUGGGGGCAGUCCUUGGGCAACAGCUCAAGUUCUGGCCGGCCUGGGCCACCUGUCAGGUGAGGACCUGCUGGCCAGGCUGUAAAUGGAAUUUCCCCAUCUUGGCCCCAGUGUGCCUGGGCCAACCAUUAUAAAGAGGGGUAAACUGAGGUCCUGAGAGGUGAUGUCACCAGCUUACAGUACCCUGGGGAGAGAGCUGGGUCUGGAGCCUUCCAAGGCUCUGGGGUGCCCGCAGCGGCGCGGUCACUUACCUCCAGGGGUGCAGGCCCAGGGAGGGGCUACAGGGGCUGCAGGGGCUGCUGGGGCUCAGCAGCGACGGGCUCUGACUGCUCGGAGACAGACUGCAAAGAAAGAGGCCGGGGACGGUGAACCUGGCGGUUGCCCCUGAGUGUGGCCGGAUCCGGAGACCAGACCAGGGCAGUGGUUCUCCGGGCGAGGAGGGGCCCCAGGCCGGGGAUUCUGGGUUUCAGCGCAGGCCGCGAGGGAGGGGCCAGGAAGGCUCCCCGGAGGCGGCGACACCAACCGAGACGCGGGGUGGCAGGGAGGGUGGUUGUCAUCCUGUCCUCGCCGGUCCCCCUCCCCGCCCGGCGCGGCACUCACUCGAGGGUCAGCGCCGGGAUGUGCAGCUUGUCCCUGCGGGACUUCAUGCCGAGGCUGGGGCCGCGUCUACGCGGCCGGGUAACGACGUCCUCCUGGCGGCUCCCAAGCCCCGAUCGUGGCGCGAUCGGUCGCACGGACAGACACGGACCGAGGGGCGGCGCGCCUGGCGGGUGCGGCGGACCGGCGCGGAGGCUCGGCCGCCGGGGGCGCGGGGGGCGGUUCUCUCCGCCCCGGGGCGGGGCUCGGAGCGCGGCACCUGCGCGCAAGCCCGGCGGGCAGGAGGGGUCGCGCGGCCGGGAGAAGGCAGCGGUGGGCGCCGCCCCCUUCUCUGGAGGGCUCCGAGGCCGCGAGGUCCCCAGGUCCCCAGCUGCGUGGCCCCAAAGGAAGGGCGGUCACUGCCGCCUGGGCGGCGCGAUUGCCCCAUCGCCCGACCCCGCCCCUCCUCCCGGCCGGCUCCGCCCUCGCCUGGCCCCGGGCGUCCCGCACCCAGGAUGCCCGCGCUCCGCCCAGCCCCGUCACCGCGUCCCCCGCCCGCGUCCCGGCUCUCAGCAUCGCCACGCAGACCAGAGGCCCGGACGCGC
rnacentral:lncRNA from 1 species